UCGUCCUGCGGGGGCAGCAGUGGGGAAUAUUGCACAAUGGGGGAAACCCUGAUGCAGCAACGCCGCGUGAGUGAAGAAGUAUUUCGGUAUGUAAAGCUCUAUCAGCAGGGAAGAAGAAAGACGGUACCUGACUAAGAAGCCCCGGCUAACUACGUGCCAGCAGCCGCGGUAAUACGUAGGGGGCAAGCGUUAUCCGGAUUUACUGGGUGUAAAGGGAGCGAAGACGGCUGUGCAAGUCUGGAGUGAAAGCCCGUGGCUCAACCGCGGAACUGCUUUGGAAACUGUAUAGCUUGAGUACUGGAGAG
rnacentral:rRNA from 1 species